GUGAUGAAAUCCCCAGGGUGGUCCUCGGGUCCCACAGUGGGUGCUCAGGGAUGUAGGCUGUAGGGCUCCAGGCUCUGGGUUGAGGAAAAUUGGAAUUAAAUUUCAGUGAAGUAACCCUGAGCAAGUCAGCCUCUGUCCAUCAGGUUCUUUUGUUUGUAAAAUGGAGGUAGCCAUGAGGAUUGUUCUGAGAAUGAGUUAAAUGGAAAGAUAUGCUCAAGAUGCCAGCGCAAAGCCAGAGACUCAAGGUUCGCAGCUGGUUGGAGCAAACCUCAAUGUCAGUGUGAAUCUUCCACCAUGGGAUUCAAGCUGCCUUGGCUCUAAAGUAAGAUCACAGCUGCAGUGAGCUGACCCCAACUCAAGAUGGAACCAUCUUAGAACAAGCUCUUAGGAUAAAAAGCCGAAGCUCUCUAAUGUGUUCUGUGAUAAAGAAGACUAUGGAACUGACAGUCCAAACCGAGAAACUGGGGAGAGAGAGGAGGCAUUAUUGUCAACUCCAGGUCAUCCAACCUGUUUUAAGCUUUUUGUCAGCAAGAACCAGCCCUAUUUUGUUCAGCCCUGGAGCAGCCUCUCCACCAGGCACACAGCUUAGCACAAAGCAGGCCUCAGAUGCACGCUGGACAAAUGUGCUGGUAUCCUCUGCAUCCUUAUGGCCAGCAAAAAUCAAGAGGACUCAGGCGGGCAGAAAGCAACAGCUGGGAAGAAAGCACAUCUCACAUUUCCUUUUGGACCUGACUCUUGUCCCUCUUUGCUUAAGAUACCAGGGUUUGAGCCCCAGAAUUUCUGGAAAACUGGAGGCUCUACUGUUCCAUUCAACCCAGGCAUGAUCCAUCCAGAAACCCAGCGGAACUGAGCCGCGAGCUGGAUUCCAGCUCACAGAACACACCAAGAACUCUGGGGGUUCCCCCCAGAAAAAUCUGGGGGGCACUGCAGAGCUUCUGACACGGCUCUGGGGGAAAUCCCACACGGAUGGGCAGCUCCCUGCAUCUGGCACUGUGGAGAUGGGCGGGCAGCCAUGGAGGAUGGGGAGACUCAUCUUUCUAGACUUCUCCUGGGGACCGCAUUUCCUCCAGCCUCCAGGUCCAGACCAAAAUAGAAUGAGGUAAAUUCAGCCCCUUUCCUGCAGCACACUCAAGGAAUAAACAAGCACCACAAAUAC